rnacentral:rRNA from 1 species
CCUACGGGAGGCUGCAGUGGGGAAUAUUGCACAAUGGGGGAAACCCUGAUGCAGCGACGCCGCGUGAGUGAAGAAGUAUCUCGGUACGUAAAGCUCUAUCAGCAGGGAAGAAAAUGACGGUACCUGACUAAGAAGCCCCGGCUAAAUACGGGCCAGCAGCCGCGGUAAUACGUAGGGGGCCAGAGUUAUCCGGAUUUACUGGGUGUAAAGGGAGCGUAGACGGCAGGAUAUGUCUGGAGUGAAAUGCCGGGGCUGAACCCUGGAACUGCUUUGGACACGGUGCGGCUGGAGUGCAGGAGGGGUAGGCGGAAUUCGUAGUGUAGCGGUGAAAUGCUUAGAUAUUAGGAGGAACACCGGUGGCGAAGGCGGCUUACUGGACUGUAACGGACGUUGAGGCUCGAAAGCGUGGGGAGCAAACAGGAUUAGAUACCCUUGUAGUC